rnacentral:rRNA from 1 species
UCUGGUUGAUCCGCCAGUAGUUAUAUGCUUGUCUCAAAGAUUAAGCCAGUGCAUGUCUUAAGUACACACGAAAUUACAACAGUGAAACCGCAAAAGGCUCAUUAUAUCAGUUAUGGUUCAUUAGAUCAGUUAAUCAGUUACUUGGAUAGAACUGGUGGUAAAUUCUACGAGCUUAAUCAUGGCAUUAUAAACACGGCCUUUGGGAGUGUGCUGUUUAUUAGGCUAAAACCAAGCGAUCGCAAGAAUCGAUACUUUGGUUGAACUCCUAGAUAGAUUGCACGAUCGUAUGGUCUUUGUACCGACGAUCAGAUCUUUCAAAUGUCUAGCCCUAUCAAGCUUUUGAAUGGUAGUAUGCCUAGGGACUACAUGGUUGCAACGGGUAAACGAUCAGGGUUCGAUUCCGCUAGAGGGAGCCUGAGAAACGGCUACCAACAUCUAAGGAGAGGCAGCAAGGCCGCUAAAUUACCCACUCCCCAGCUCGGGGAGGUAACGUGACGAAAAAAUAACAUACAGGACUCAUAAUAGAGGACCCUGUAUUGGAAUGAGUAACAAAUUUAAUCCCUUACACAAGGACCCUAUUGGAGGGCAAAGUCUGUGCCAGCAGCCAAAGCGGUAACUCCAGCUCUCAAAUAGCCGUAUAUUAAAGUGUUGUUGCGGUUAAAACGUUUUUUUCGUCAGUUGAACUUGUGCUUCCAAUAACGGGGUAUAUAGCUAUAAAAUUGGUAGUUUGUAACUAUACCUUUAAUGUAUGUAAAGCGUAUUACCGGUGGAGUUCUUAUAUUGCGUUAAAUAUGCUUGUAAUUUGCGUAUGUUCCUCCCCUUUUUAAAACCCUGCUCAGUGCCUCUUCAUCGAGUGUUGUUGUGGACCGGUACAAUUACUCUUGAACAAAUUAUGAGUGCUUAAAGCAGGCUCCCAAAAAUGCCUGAAUAUUUUUGUGCAUGGAAUAAUGAAAUAAGAACGCUCUGUUCUAACUUUCAUUGGUUGUUAGAUCAGAGGUAAUGAUUAAUGAAAGCAGUUAUGCAUUAGUAUGUACGUAUACGCAGUAGGUGAUAAAUCUUCGGAACCUGUCCGUAAAAGACUAACUUAUAUGCGAAAGCAUUUGCAAAGAAUGUUUCAUUAAUCAGAACGAAAGUUAGAGGUUCGAAGGCGUAUCAGUACCGCCCUCAAAGUUCUAACCAUAAACGAUGCCGAGCUAGCAAUUGGGUGUUAGCUAGAUUUCAUGGCUCUCUCAGUCGCUUCCCCGGAAAACCAAAAGCUUUUGGGCCCUGCGGGGGAAAGUAUGGUUGCAAAGCUGAAACUAAGGAAUUUGACGAAGGGCAGCCACCAAGGAAGUGGAGGCCUGCGGCUUAAUUUGAACUCAACACGGGAAAAACUUACCAGGUUUCCGAACAUAAGUGUGUAAGCAGAUUGAAUAGCUCUUUCUCGAAAUCUAUGGGUGGAUGGUGCAUGGCCGUUCCUUAGUCGUGGAGUAUUUGUCUGGUUAAUUCCGAUGAACGAACGAGACCUCAAAUAUAUUCAAUAUGAUGCUUUCCAGGAUUAUGGUGUUGAAGCUUUUUAUAGCCUUCAUCGCGACCCGCAGUAAAAGUGUUAAGUGUUUGAAUGUGUUAUAGAAAGUGGAAGAAGCCGUAACCCUGUUGGUUUGUCCCAUUUAAUAAGGUCACUAGGCUUCUUAAAUGGACAAAAUUGCGUCUCCAUGGUAAGAUCAAGAUUGUUAUGUCAUAUGUUUAUUAAUGCCUAUAUGGUAAAGAAGUUUGCAAAAUUUGUUAUUGUUUAACCCUUCGCUUUGCAGUUCG